rnacentral:rRNA from 1 species
AUUGAACGCUGGCGGCAGGCCUAACACAUGCAAGUCGAGCGAGCGGCGCACGGGUGAGUAAUGUCUGUGGAACUGCCUGCUGGGGGGGGAUAACUACUGGAAACGGUGGCUCAUACCCCCUACCAUCAGAUGUGCCCAGAUGGGAUUUGCUCGUAGGUGGGGUAACGGCUCACCUAGGCGACGAUCCCUAGCUGGUCUGAGAGGAUGACCAGCCACACUGGAACUGAGACACGGUCCAGACUCCUACGGGAGGCAGCAGUGGGGAAUAUUGCACAAUGGGCGCAAGCCUGAUGCAGCCAUGCCGCGUGUGUGAAGAAGGCCUUCGGGUUGUAAAGCACUUUCAGCGGGGAGGCGUUACCCGCAGAAGAAGCACCGGCUAACUCCGUGCCAGCCGCCGCGGUAAUAC